GUGGUUGUGGCUCAGUGGCAGAGCGCUUGCCUAGCAUGUGUGAGGCACUGGGUUCAAUUCUCAGCACCACG
rnacentral:tRNA from 1 species